AAUCAUUGGUUGAAUAAUGUCUACUCAAACAAGCUCACACUGUGAAACCAGCUCAGCAAGGCCUACCUGGAGGAUGCAAAGAUGGAUUGAUGUUGAACUGGAAAGAAGAGGCACGAGAGAAAUACUGUUUCCUUGAGGAGGCGAUGGGUGGUCCAAAGCUAGAAUUAACACAGGCACUUAGACACCUGGUCCCUUUUCUACCCCACUUCAGCAACCAGACAUGAAGAUCUAAGCUGUAAAGUCCUCCUGUCACGAUGAGAAUCAGCAUGUUUACAAGAAGCUGUCCAGAAGCAAGGUGGCAUCCGUUAGCAGAGUGCCUGACACACUGGACCGAGAGCACCUGUCUCUGCCUCCUGGUUUCUCCCGACUCCCAGGGCAGGACUCCCUCAUGCUGCCGCUGUCACCAUCACACCCACAGAAAGGCCAGCCAAGGGCUGGGGGCAAUGUGAUGGCUGUUCCCUUCCCGCCUGGGGCUUUACCCUCAAGUCCUGGGGGACUGACAGGUAUUGUACUAACUGAAAUGAAAAUCAUUUUAUGUGCAGAAGCAAAUUCACCCAGAAUUCUGAAAGUGCAAAAGACUAGAUCCUUAAAGGAACAUUCUGGAUGCUGUGUUUUUCAGAAAAAAAGGCGAAUGUUGAGUAAUUAAGCUAACAUUCGCGUUCUUUCUUUUCUAUUAUUCUAUAUUUUGAGUGAGUUAUAGGAUGUGUUAGACAGUCCCAUCACGCCCAGGCUAAUUUCUUACAGUGACAUCUAAAGUUCUGUAAAAUGAUCUGCACAAUAAAAUGGUUUUAAAGGAGAAUUACUUAAAUUUCUGGAGGGCAUGAAUUAUAUUUACAUUGUAUCCCUAAUGACUAACACAGGGUUUGGCAUAUAUCAGGCACAUAAUGAUAAAUACGUUUGCAUUAAUUAGUAGAUUAUAAUCUGAUGAUUAGGCUUUAAUAAAAUAAUGGUAAUAACAUAUUUUUGUUUGUUUCAAACUAGUAUAUUUAGAGGUUCCAUUUUCACUCCUCAAUAGAUUUUAUGUAUUUCUCAUAUGCUUCUUCACUCAUUAGUUCAUCUAGUUCUGAAGGGUUACUGUGUGUCAUCUU